UAAACCUGAGAAACCCAAAAGAUCGAAUGGGGAGAUUCAGCGUCAGNNNCGUUUGCUUCCGUGUGGUUUCGCGAUGAUGCGGGACUUCGGUUCUGCGUCACGCUGCCUCUGCGGCAUGUCAGGCGUCGUCGGUGUGCACUUCUCCCCUAGUAGGACGUCGCGACCCGUUGGGUGUAGGCCUACGGCCGUACGGUCGACUGUCGCGUCGCGUUCACGCCGUUCACGUGGCAGACCUACGGUGUUUCCGGCCUACUGCCCGGCGGUAUGGAACGCUUAAAUUGGUAUCGACGCGACAUUACGUGCGUUCUGGCUCCUCGGCAGGUUCGUCCCGCUCGGAUUUACGGACCUANGCCGUUGCCGGGCGCUCGAUGUGGCCGUUUAGCCGAGGAUGUCCUCGAACGGGCUCUCUCGA
rnacentral:rRNA from 1 species